rnacentral:lncRNA from 1 species
GUUUAUUAAAUUUACAGUGCAUAGUAAUUAAUCUCACUUUAACAUGGCUGAAUAAUAAUCUACCAAAUUAACAUUAAGAAAAACACUAAAAUUCCUUAUGCUGCUUCGAAAAACAGCACUGGAACUGAACAUAGCGCUCUCUAUUGAAUUCAAUACGGCAGGCGACAGUUCGGUAUCGAUUAACACACUACCACUAUCUAUUUGUAUGUAUGGAAGGUAUAGCCUCCGCUUUUUCCUCCUUAAUACACUAUCUAUUCUAGUCACUAUACAUCAUCAUCAUUAUCCGCCAUCUUGUACUGAAAUAUGAUGACGUUUUUCGUUCAUUUUAUUCAUAUAUUAUUAAAUCUUUAUAGAAAAUAAUUAAAUAUUAAUAUUGUGA